rnacentral:misc_RNA from 1 species
AACGCACAUUGCGCCCGCUAGUAUUCUGGCGGGCAUGCCUGUUCGAGCGUCAUUUCAACCAUCAAGCCCUCAGGCUUGCGUUGGAGCCCUGCGGCUGCCGCAGGCUCCCAAACCCAGUGGCGGGCUCGUCGUCGUACCGAGUGCAGUAAAUUUACCACGCUCAGGGCACGCGACGGGUGACCGGCCGUAAAACCCCCCCUUCUCAAGGUUGACCUCGGAUCAGGUAGGAAUACCCGCUGAACUUAA